AGGUUUGAUCAUGGCUCAGACGAACGCUGGCGGCAGGCUUAACACAUGCAAGUCGAACGCUCGUAGCAAUACGGGAGUGGCGGACGGGUGAGUAACGCGUGGGAACGUGCCCUGAGGUACGGAAUAACUGAGGGAAACUUCAGCUAAUACCGUAUGAGCCCCGAGAGGGGGAAAGAUUAUCGCCUUGGGAGCGGCCCGCGUCGGAUUAGCUAGUUGUGGGGUAACGGCCUACCAAGGCUUCGAUCCGUAGCUGGUCUGAGAGGACGAUCAGCCACACUGGGACUGAGACACGGCCCAGACUCCUACGGGAGGCAGCAGUGGGGAAUCUUGCGCAAUGGGGCAACCCUGACGCAGCCAUGCCGCGUGAACGAUGAAGGCCUUAGGGUUGUAAAGUUCUUUACCCGUGACGAUGAUGACGGUAACGGGGGAAUAAGCUCCGGCUAACUUCGUG
rnacentral:rRNA from 1 species